rnacentral:rRNA from 1 species
UACAGGGGGUGCAAACGUUGCUCGGAAUCAUUGGGCGUAAAGCGCACGUAGGCGGUUCGUUAUGUCGGAUAUGAAAGCCCUUGGCUUAACCGAGGAAGUGCAUCCGAAACUGGCGAGCUAGAGUACUAAAGAGGAUCGCGGAAUUCCCGGUGUAGAGGUGAAAUUCGUAGAUAUCGGGAGGAACACCGGUGGCGAAGGCGGCGAUCUGGGUAGAUACUGACGCUGAGGUGCGAAAGCGUGGGGAGCAAACAGG